UCAACGUUGAACCCUAAUCUCGUGUUUCACUCUCCCUCAGUCCCUUGCCUCUCUUUCCUUGCCUAUCUCUCCUUGAGUCCCUGAUAUUCAGAUCUUUUCCCUCUCUCCUCAUUCUCUCUACAAACACUUCCCCAGGCCAUUAUUUCUAGGGUUUAAGCUUUCAUCUUCCUUUUUCAUAAUUCACUCCAUGAACUACCAAACCAUUCUCACUUCUAAUUAUCAAUUUCUAAUCGAAAUUUACAAAGGGGAUGAACUUCUGAAGUUUUUGCAAAUUAGGGUUUCAAUUCUUCAGAAAAGGUCAGAUCUUCGCGAUAUUUUGAUCAAUUUGAUGCGAUUUUAAGCUAUAUUUGUUGAUUGUUGAUGGGAUUCUGUAUGACCAUCUCCCAUGGAGGGUCAGCCAUUUGUUUUUUCAUGAUUUAUAUGACUUUGAUUGGUUUUUCCUGGCGAGUUUCCAUACUAAACGGGCUGUUUUUUUUGUAGUAUUUCAAAGUAAGGAUGAUCCGGGACUAUGGAUUUCGUUUCAUUACCUCUCCUCUCUCUACUCACUAUCAAUUCGUCCUAUUUCUCGGUUUUCACCAUUUUCUUCGAUCUCUCUUUUCUGACAUUAUUCGAUUUUUUUUUUGUUGAUUUUUUGAUGGCAGCCAACAAUAAGAUGUUUGUGAUUCAAAAGAUGGUGCUGAGCUUCUUGACUUGGUUCGCAAGGUUCUUUCUGUUGUUGGUUUACUUCAAGAUGAAGUUGAGGUAUCUGUCAUGAAAGUUGAGAAGGCUCCGUUAGAGUCAUUUGCUGAUAUUGGGGGCUUGGAUCCUCAAAUACAAGAGAUCAAAGAAGCAGUUGAGCUACCAUUGACUCAUCCUGAACUCUAUGAAGACAUUGGUUAAACCUCCCAAGGGAGUCAUUCUUUAUGGAGAACCUGGUACUGGGAAAACACUUCUCGCAAAGAAUCAAUUUCUCAGCUUCAAAAGAAGUUAUAUAUAUAAAGCCUUAGAGAGAGAAUCUAACCCCAAAAGUACCAACGUUUUGUAGCAUCUGAUAAAACAUGAGAGAUAAGUUAGAAGUAACGCCAAGCAAGGUCAGAACUUUCCAAAUCCACCACCAGAUUCUGCCCGAAAUCACUACUUUUGCUAGAACAUCUUUGUCCCUUUUUCUCACCAUUGCUGCCAUUUUUACCGUUUAUUUUCUUCAUGAAAGUUAUAUAUCUCAAAGAGUGGUUCACUUUAGGCUCAAGAAUCGAUCAGUUGAUUUGGAUAUUUAUGCUAUGAGAGUCUCUGACAUUCCAAACCUGCUGCACCCCCUGAGAUUAACUAUCAUUCGGGAUUCUCUGGCCAAAAUGUUCAGCCCCAGCAGUGGGUCGCAAAAGGUCCUGGGAUCUUAAGGUCCCUUCCAUUGAACUUCAACGUGUAUGCUUGUCAAAGUGCCGGGGAUAGCUUUGAGAGGCUGGGGCAAUUUGGCAGUAGAGAGAGGCAGGGGCAAUUUACAAUAGAGAGAGGACGGGGAAUUUGACAAUAGAGAGAGGCAAGGGUGGGCAGGAAACAGUUUUGGUGAAGAAAGAGAAAUCACCGAAACUCAAUCCAACAGAACUCAGGAAGCUUUUGUGUGAGCUUGGAGAUCAUUUGUUUACAGGCACCUGUUACUUCAGUCCUAAAAACCACAUGACUAAAGAUCCUAGGCCAAAGGUACCAUCAGCAUGAUCAAUAUCUAUCAGCAACAUGCAGUUCUUGACUUCUUUCUGAUAGUCUUUCCAAUAUCACCUCGAAAGAUGCAAGUAAAGUAUGCCGAGCCAAUUCACUGACAACACUCAAUAUCUCCAACCUCAUAGUUGUCAGUCUGUCACGGUAUCCUGAGAAUCUGCAGUAGAACCUCCUCACCAUUUGUCCCUGUUUUAAUCUCCUCCUAUCCAUUGGAAAGAUGAUAUACAAAAAACCAGAAUAAUUUUGAUUGUAUACCCUUAUCUCAACUCGACUUCAAUGCUUGCUUCUGAAGAGAGAAUCCCACUCAUGUUUUUCGACUUUCCCUGUCAAGUAAUACUUUUAAGUUGACUCCUCAGCAAAUUAACCUGCUUCUUGGGUCCUUUCCUUGUUGAAAUUGUCUCCUAGCAUCCUCAAUCUCUUGAGAACUCGCUUGAGAGCGAUAUCAAAUUGAACUGUCGAUGAGCUUUAUAUUUGAGUUAAACCUUCAUUUUCCACAUAUUGAACUGUGUUAUGAGUGUCUGGCAUUUUGUUACCAAGUCUUGGUGGAGCCUGGGAGCUAGGGAGAUCAUGCAUGUAAAUGUAAUGACCCGACAAGGAUAUGAUCUUGCUGUUGAGAUUUCCAAUUAGAUUUUGGCUUUCCUACAACUCUUGUGUUUAGGCUGAGGUCUUUACCUUUGAUCUACCUGACUACAUUUCUAUACUCAAAGUCAGGCAGCAAUAAGAAGCAUAGAGCUGCAGCAACAACAAAGCAGAAAUUCUCACACCAAAAAGAAAAAAAACAAAGCAGAAUUUCUUCAUAGAAAACCUGAAAUCCUUUUUCAUAAUUAUGAGUUAGAAGGACACUUUUCUGUAAUGGAUAGAAAUUUGGUACAAUUCAGUUGAGCUCUUUUCUUAUUGGCUACCAUAGGCGGAUCGCGGAUCGGAUGCACGUUGUAUUGUUUAUUACUUAGGUAGUUCUGGAUGAAAAUAAAAAAAAUUGGAUUGUCAACAGUUGAAGUUGGCAAUGUGAUUACGUCGGACUAUAAAUAACUCUUGAAUCUAUGGCCUUCAUACGUUGAGUAUCCUUGGAUCAUCAGGAAAUUGGUUUCAUCAAGCUGUUUACCUCAAAAUCGAUCGAUUUCUUCAGUUCCCUGGAUGAAUUUGGAGAGAAGAACAGCAAUUACAAAGCUCAGUCAUACAGAAAAGAACAAAAAUACUGACGAAAAGGAGGAAGAAGAAACUUCAAUUACUGGUACUGAUCCUUGAAGUCGUCGCAACACCCCAAUGAUGAAGAAUUAAAGUAUCAAAAGUAUCUAUUAUUUGCAAGAUCUUCAAAAGUACCAGUAAAUGCUAAACUUGACCACUUAAAGGUUGGAUACCUUGAUUAUUGCAAGAAACGAGGCUUUGUCACCUGCUAUAUAAGCGCAUGUCCACCAACGUAUGGAGAAGAAUAAUUUUAUAUUGUCAUCUAGAGACACAAAAAACACCCAGGUGAAAUGGGAUUCUUAUGCUUGUACUACAAUGAGAGAUGUCAACCAUUUAGCAGCUUGAGCAGUUAGGAAGCACAUAGCAAAGUGUUAUGGUGAUGAUGAAGGUGAUGAGGUGGAAUUAAAAGAGUUUUAUACUUUUAUGACUACAACAGCAGGAACUUCCAUAAAGAUCAUGAUCAUUGCUUAUAAAAAAAGCAACAAGCAUCAAAAGUUGAAUGUUAUUUUGUUGUCAAAAUCUUUGUUCUCUGUGUAAUGUUUUGAUUCGUGUUCUUCUGCUAUAUUUCUCAAGAUUGGUAGGAGUUAUUAAUUUUGUUUUUUUUGUAAGAAUGAUACUUCAUAUAUGUUACGUUUGAAGUUGAGAUAAAAUUCGUAGCUUGCUUUAUAUGGAAUACAACGCUCAAAAUGACUAUUAAAUGAAAAACGUAUUUAAUUACACUUUUCGAUUUCUUA